rnacentral:lncRNA from 1 species
UUCUCUCCUCAAUCCAUUCAUUUGUCUCGUUUUCCAGAAAUCAUCAUCCCUUUAAUUUUUCAAUAAAAUCAUCACUUCUAACCUUCAAAUAGCAAACAAAAUUGUAAACAAAACUAUUAAUUCUGCUAACUCAGUAUGGUGUGUUCUUGCCCCUUCCUUUUUGCUGAACCAUGCUUCAUCUUCUCUCCCAAACAUUAUUUCCUACGUGGUUUCACCACACAAUCCAAGCAAUACUGAACAAAACAAUGAAUCUCAACCAUUUAUAAGUGAACAUUUGCAUUCAAAUCUGUUAAGUUUUUUAUGUUAACUUUCUGGAUCUGUAAGGUUUUUGUAUCGAUUUUUUACUCCCAAACCCGAUACUAACCACCUGUCAAACCGUCGAACCCGCCAAACCGAAACUGCCGUAACCGAAGACUCAAAACGGAUGGGAACGGUUGGUAGUGUUUCAACCGUCGGUUGAUUCGGUUUCGGAUUUUGAGCCCGAAUUCCGACCGAAACCGGCCGAUGUCCAACCCUAAAUUCAAACACUGCAUAAGAGAAAUAAGAGAAUGAUCAAUGAUUAUAAAAAUAUGUCUUAUUAGUAGUAAACCCUAGACCAAAAUUGAUACUCGAAGUUGAUGAAACUCGAACAAGAAAAUGGUUGAACUCGUAAUAAAAUGUAUGGUGUAUUUGCAAACACUUCACUGCUAGUCAUCUUCUAAGUAUAAUAGCUCAAUAUAAUGUGUAUAUUUCUCAAAGUGCAAGCAUCCUUUUAGAAAUAAAGUUUCAUGAGAAUUAAAGUAAAUUUUGUUUAGGCCGUUGAAUCAUUCUUGACGUGAUUCACGGGUUAGUGUCUGAUCAUGCAGUGCUAGAGUGUGCUGCUAGUGCAAUUUUGUAGUGCGUUCCACUGGAGUAGAAUCCAUUACGAAUUGGGCUUGGUCAAAUAUGGAACAGUAUCUUAGUUAUUUUAAUUUUAUGUAUUUUCUAUUUUUUUUUUCAUGAACAUUCAUCUAAACAAUAGCAUAAAUGAUAAAUGAAAUGGGAUACAGAGCGUAGUCCUUUUUUUAAAAAUGUUUUUUAUAUCAGGAUAGUCCUUAUCUUGUUAUGUUACUUGCAAAUUUUCUAGAUUAUAUUUUUUAAACAGUUCUUUAUACGAUGUCGGCAACUGUAUCCUAAAAUAUAAAAAAAAUAUAAAAAAAACCUCUAUUUAUCUCCCAAAAGAACUCUCCAUUUAUUAAAUUAUUUUAUGGAUGCACACAUGUACUGGAUUUUUUAUAUUUUUAUAAAGUGAUCUUUCUUUUUAAAUUGAAUUCAAUGUAAAAGAAAAGAAAUUCAAUAUGAAUCGUAUUAUCAAAAUUAAAUUAUUUAGUGAGAUUAUUAUAAAAUGAUAAAAAUAUUUAAAAAAAAGUAUCGGAAUGUAUUAAUGUAAUAAAAAAAAGUAUUUUAUACCUCCACUUGUGUGUGUGAGUUUAUAAUGGCUUUGCCAUUUCGUCUAUCUAAAAAAAAAAAAAAGAAUGACAGAAAGUUUAUCUUGCUUGCAAAUGAAUAUAUGAUACUUCAAGCUACUUAUGAUGACGUAGAGUGAUUUGGUAGUUAUCCUUUGUGCUCCACCAACGCCAUCCAGCUGCAGAUUGUGAUAAAGAAUUCCAUUACGGAUAAAAAGGUUUCUAUUGGAUCAUAAAAGCUUCCAUAAUGAAAAUUUCAUCACACGUCGUGCUAUAUUUACUGUAACUAACUAAUGACCAUAUCAAACUCACCUGUUUUCAUGAGUGCUUUGACGAUGAUGGAUGCAGGUCAAGUUGAUGCUCUAAGACUUUGUAAAGAGAUGGGGAAUCACCUCUUUCUAUUGACACCUAGAGACACUUUGUGCAUGUGUUUAGUUUUGCAGAAAAAAUGUUAUGAAUGAAUUGAUUUUAAAUUUAAAUACGUUUAUAUAAAAAUGAGUUAAACAAUAAAUUUUAAGUUUAAUAGCAGUUUUCCCCCUCUAACAUUUACGAAAUUACAAUUUUAGUCCCUUAAGAAGAAAAAAACUACAAAACGCCCCCUAAGUUUUGUAACUGUAGUAAUUUUAGCCCCGAGACCAAUUUUUGGUAAAAAAAAUAACACGUGGCACUUCACUUUGGGUGUCACGUCAGCAUUGACCGAGUCGAAAUUGACAUUGGGGGCCAAAACUGCCACAUAUGCAAAACUUAGACUGAUUUUGUAGAUUUUUCUU